CAGCAGCCGCGGGAAAACGGAGGGUGCAAGCGUUAAUCGGAAUUACUGGGCGUAAAGCGCACGCAGGCGGUCUGUCAAGUCAGAUGUGAAAUCCCCGGGCUUAACCUGGGAACUGCAUUUGAAACUGGCAGGCUAGAGUCUUGUAGAGGGGGGUAGAAUUCCAGGUGUAGCGGUGAAAUGCGUAGAGAUCUGGAGGAAUACCGGUGGCGAAGGCGGCCCCCUGGACAAAGACUGACGCUCAGGUGCGAAAGCGUGGGGAGCAAACAGGAUUAGAUACCCGUGUAGUCCCUGUCUCUUAUAC
rnacentral:rRNA from 1 species